AAAAUGGUCCUUCUCAGGACCACCACGUAUUAUGUUAACGUUGGAG
rfam:Melipona quadrifasciata isolate 0111107301 unplaced genomic scaffold scaffold5, whole genome shotgun sequence.